UACGUAGGGUGCGAGCGUUAACCGGAAUUACUGGGCGUAAAGCGUGCGCAGGCGGUUCGUUAUGUCCGUUGUGAAAGCCCCGGGCUCAACCUGGGAAUGGCAAUGGAAACUGGCGAGCUAGAGUGUGGCAGAGGGGGGUGGAAUUCCGCGUGUAGCAGUGAAAUGCGUAGAGAUGCGGAGGAACACCGAUGGCGAAGGCAGCCCCCUGGGCUAGCACUGACGCUCAGGCACGAAAGCGUGGGGAGCAAACAGG
rnacentral:rRNA from 1 species